rnacentral:rRNA from 1 species
UACGUAGGGGGCUAGCGUUGUUCGGAUUUACUGGGCGUAAAGCGCACGUAGGCGGAUCGUUAAGUCGGGGGUGAAAUCCUGGAGCUCAACUUCAGAACUGCCUUCGAUACUGGCGAUCUUGAGUCCGGAAGAGGUGAGUGGAACUCCUAGUGUAGAGGUGGAAUUCGUAGAUAUUAGGAAGAACACCAGUGGCGAAGGCGGCUCACUGGUCCGGUACUGACGCUGAGGUGCGAAAGCGUGGGGAGCAAACAGG